rnacentral:misc_RNA from 1 species
AUUUCUUUUCAAAAAAAGGUAUAAGCACAUGUCUGUGUGGAACACUAAUAGUUCCCAACAUUCCUGACAAUUCCAACAGACACUCCAAUAAUAAUGCUUGUAUAUUACAGCUCCAAAUGCGUACAUAUACUUUUAAAAGCAAACAUAUACCUCUAAAUUACUGUUCCUUGGCACGCGAUUUGAAUUAAUUACCAAAUAAUCAAGAUUGAAAAAUCUCAACCACGAACAACAUUACAGGCUAAGUAAUUAUCACCCUGAAUUACUAGAUCUAUUUGCAAAAAGCAAGAACUGAAAAUGCUUAAGUCUGCAUAAUACCUUAAAUAAAAUGGAGACAAUCUCGAAGACUCAAAUUAAACAAAACUACCGAAG